rnacentral:rRNA from 1 species
GAUGAACGCUGGCGGCGUGCCUAAUACAUGCAAGUCGAGCGAACAGACGAGGAGCUUGCUCCUCUGACGUUAGCGGCGGACGGGUGAGUAACACGUGGAUAACCUACCUAUAAGACUGGGAUAACUUCGGGAAACCGGAGCUAAUACCGGAUAAUAUAUUGAACCGCAUGGUUCAAUAGUUAAAGACGGUUUUGCUGUCACUUAUAGAUGGAUCCGCGCCGCAUUAGCUAGUUGGUAGGGUAACAGCUUACCAAGGCAACGAUGCGUAGCCGACCUGAGAGGGUGAUCGGCCACACUGGAACUGAGACACGGUCCAGACUCCUACGGGAGGCAGCAGUAGGGAAUCUUCCGCAAUGGGCGAAAGCCUGACGGAGCAACGCCGCGUGAGUGAUGAAGGUCUUCGGAUCGUAAAACUCUGUUAUUAGGGAAGAACAAAUGUGUAAGUAACUAUGCACGUCUUGACGGUACCUAAUCAGAAAGCCACGGCUAACUACGUG